GAGGAAUAUUGGUCAAUGGGCGUAAGCCUGAACCAGCCAAGUCGCGUGAGGGAUGAAGGUUCUAUGGAUCGUAAACCUCUUUUAUAAGGGAAUAAAGUGUGGGACGUGUCCUAUUUUGUAUGUACCUUAUGAAUAAGGAUCGGCUAACUCCGUGCCAGCAGCCGCGGUAAUACGGAGGAUCCGAGCGUUAUCCGGAUUUAUUGGGUUUAAAGGGUGCGUAGGCGGCCUUUUAAGUCAGCGGUGAAAGUCUGUGGCCCAACCAUAGAAUUGCCGUUGAAACUGGGAGGCUUGAGUAUGUUUGAGGCAGGCGGAAUGCGUGGUGUAGCGGUGAAAUGCUUAGAUAUCACGCAGAACCCCGAUUGCGAAGGCAGCCUGCCAAGCCAUGACUGACGCUGAUGCACGAAAGCGUGGGGAUCAAACAGGAUUAGAUACCCUGGUAGUCCACGCAGUAAACGAUGAUCACUAGCUGUUUGCGAUACAGUGUAAGCGGCACAGCGAAAGCGUUAAGUGAUCCACCUGGGGAGUACGCCGGCAACGGUGAAACUCAAAGGAAUUGACGGGGGCCCGCACAAGCGGAGGAACAUGUGGUUUAAUUCGAUGAUACGCGAGGAACCUUACCCGGGUUUGAACGCAUUCGGACCGAGGUGGAAACACCUUUUCUAGCAAUAGCCGUUUGCGAGGUGCUGCAUGGUUGUCGUCAGCUCGUGCCGUGAGGUGUCGGCUUAAGUGCCAUAACGAGCGCAACCCUUGCCACUAGUUACUAACAGGUGAUGCUGAGGACUCUGGUGGGACUGCCAGCGUAAGCUGCGAGGAAGGCGGGGAUGACGUCAAAUCAGCACGGCCCUUACAUCCGGGGCGACACACGUGUUACAAUGGCGUGGACAAAGGGAUGCCACCUGGCGACAGGGAGCGAAUCCCCAAACCACGUCUCAGUUCGGAUCGGAGUCUGCAACCCGACUCCGUGAAGCUGGAUUCGCUAGUAAUCGCGCAUCAGCCAUGGCGCGGUGAAUACGUUCCCG
rnacentral:rRNA from 1 species